rnacentral:rRNA from 1 species
UUCCGGUUGAUCCCGCCGGAGGCUACCGCUAUUGGAGUUCGAUUAAGCCAUGCGAGUCGCGAGUCUUAGGGACUCGGCGUACCGCUCAGUAACACGUGGGUAACCUGCCCUAUGCUGGGGGAUAACCUCGGGAAACUGAGAAUAAUACCCCAUAGUUCACCACGCCUGGAACGGUGGGUGGAUGAAAGCUCCGGCGGCAUAGGAUGGGCCUGCGGCGUAUCAGGUUGUAGGGGGUGUAAUGUACCCUCUAGCCCUCUACGCGUACGGGUGUUGAGAGACAUCGCCCGGAGAUGGAUUCUGAGACACGAAUCCAGACCCCACGGGGUGCAGCAGGCGCGAAAACUUGGCAAUGCGAGAAAUCGUGACCAGGGAACUCCAAGUGCAUCGGGUAAGACCGAUGCUUUUCUUGACUCUUCAAAGGUCUUGGAAUAAGGGGUGGGUAAGGACGGUGCCAGCCGCCGCGGUAAUACCGGCGCCCCAAGUGGUAGUCGCUUUUAUUGGGCCUAAAACGUCCGUAGCCGGUCUGGUACAUUCGUGGGUAAAUCAACCAGCUCAACUGGUUGAAUUCUGCGAGCACGGCCAGACUUGGGACCGGGAGAGGUGUGGGGUACUCUCAGGGUAGGGGUAAAAUCCUGUCAUCCUGAGAGGACCACCUGUUGCGAAGGCGCCACACUAGAACGGAUCCGACGGUCAGGGACGAAGCCUAGGGGCACGAACCGGAUUAGAUACCCGGGUAGUCCUAGGUGUAAACGCUGUGGACUUGAUGUUGGGGGCGCUCCGAGCGCACUCAGUGUCGAAGCGAAGGUGAUAAGUCCACUGCCUGGGGAGUACGGUCGCAAGGCUGAAACUUAAAGGAAUUGGCGGGGGAGCACCGCAACCUGAGGAUUGUGCUGUUUAAUUGGAUUCAACGCCGG